rnacentral:lncRNA from 1 species
UUUUUUCAAGGGUUUAGAGAUUUGAGGGUACUGAUCUGCGCCUAUUUUUUGCUCAACCCUCAAACUGGCAGUUAUUGAGGGUUUGACCAGUUUGAGCUCUCUUAGACAUGCUCUAAGAGCAGAAAGUGGCCGCAAGGCAAAGGAGGCUGCUGCAAAGGAAGCCUCAGUGUUGCCCUUGCAGAGUUCAAACGCGCAGGCCAGCGUGAGAGGGGAAGAAGAUUGCACAAGUUGCAUCAAACAACUGCAAAGUCGGCUGAUUUCAACACUACAGCCUGCUGACAGCUAGCGCUGGCCAUGAUACAUCACCAUAAAUGGAUAAAUGAGGAUUCAGUAACUGGCAUAGAAAUACAAAUCAACCCACAGAUGGUUUGGAAGCACAAAGGACGAACAAACAUCUAAAAAAAAUAUAGCAUAACUUCAAUAUUAAUCUGAAAUCUUAUGCCACAGAAAUAGAAAAUGAAGCCAUCCUUUGUGCUCUUCAAAAAAUGACACUCAUAGAAACACCAAAACCACCAGCUAUGUAGUGCUUUCUGGUCGAAAAAGCUAACAAAGUUCAGACCUAGCAACUUUAAUCAAAUAUCCCUAGACCACUGCAAGAUAUAUACUAACCAUGAUAAAUUCCCAUGUGUAACCAUUGCAUAAGCACGACUACACAAAGAGUACUGUAUCUGAAAGCAAUUGAAGCAUUCCUAGACUAUUAGAAGCCAUAAAAUAAUGGAAAAAGCAACUCCCAGUGAUAGACAGAUAGCACCUUGUAUAAAUAAUCUUACCUCUUACAAGUACCGUUGUUACCACAUAUGCUGUGAUAUAAACUAGUGAUAAUGGUUAAAGAACUGAGUUGUCAAAAGUUUAGGAUUGUCAGAGGGCUCAUAGCUUAGUUGUCUACUACUCCCUCCAUUCACUAUUAUAGUUCUAACUUUUUUCUGAAUCAGAUGUAUAUAGACACAUUUGUCUACUACUCCCUCCAUUCUCUAUCGACUCAUUCCAAUAAAUAUGUAGUCCAUAUUGAAAUACCUAAAUGGUCUUAUAAUAGAGAAAGAGGGGGUACUGGCUAAGACAGAAAAACACGACUUCUGACUGUGUUGGCCACUAUGGAAUCACAUGAAUCAUCUUACUGAACAAUCAAAUGUCAAAAACACACUACAACAGAGCAAUGACAAUGGCUAGCGGUAUUGAUUUGAUUUAAAUUGUGGUCCACAACUCAAAUCAAAUCACUACACAAGAUAUGGAUUCAAACAAUGGGUGACCAGGCAGAGCGCCAAAAUUGAAUUGUCACAUGUACCCUUAUUUCAUUAGUUGAUUAUACUUAUAAAGAGGACAACACAAGCAAACUUUCCCAAACAGCCUCUCGCCUCCCCCUGAGGUCAUACAUAACCUUGUUCAAACAAGUACUGUAUCAGCACUAGCUACUAAAGAAACAUUUUAUAUGUAGCAAACCACAAACAUUAAACUACUUGCAUAAUGACAGGUAUCAGCACUAAAAACAACUAAAACAUCCAAAACCCAAAUUGUUAAGAAAACAAAACAUACAUACAGAAUACCUAACUGUGUGCAUAAAUAGGCAUGCACAAAGGAACUACAAAUGGCAAAAAGGUCAUUAAUAAAUCAAGGUUCUGGUAAAACAACAGGGCAAUCUCCUACUCCCUCCGUCUGGAAAUACUUGUCAUUGAAUUAGAUGUAUCUAGAUGUAUUUUAGUUCUACAUACAUCCAUUUUCAUCCAUUUUGAUGACAAGUAUUCCCGGACGGAGGGAGUAUCAAGCAAAAGGAUAUCAGAGCUUAAAACAAUACUGAACAAGUAAAGCAACCACAACAGAGACAGAUAAUUGUAGAACAUUGAAUCAACCUACAUAUUUGGUUCCACAUGGAAGAUCCAAUUGUGCAUGAUACUAGGCAAGUCACCCAGGAAUUACACAUGCCUACAACAGGUAUUCUACACAAACCACAAUACAAUUAUCCCCUACCACACAACCGAUUAACAAUUUUACACCCAAAUGAACUUAAAGCCAAACCGCUACACAAGAAAUUCAUUCAAAAUGCAGGUAGGUAAUCAUACUAGGGUAACGAAGGAUUUCAACUGGUCAGGACAUUUCAACUCAGGCAAAAUACAGGUCUUAAGCAGGAUAAAAGGGGUUCCAUAAUCAGCAAAAUAUGACGGUAUCCCAGGUAGGCUACAAGCAGUAAUAAUAAUAAUAUCUUUCAACACAAGCGAAAUCUUAAAACUGGCAUCCCGGAGUCACUUGCUAGCAUGCAAAAACAACGAGACAUCAUAAACCCUAGGUACCCUAGACCCUUCUCCCGUCGGCAGCAACGGGUGUCAUCGCCGUCAUCCCCGGAUUAGAAUCCGAGCUUGGUGCGGCGCCAGUGCCUGCGCUUGGCGUUGU